GCAUAGUCUUUGUGUGAGAGAGUGGAUCUAAAAGCAAAGGACUACGAGAUCCAGAUAUAGACAAGAUACCCUCAUCUGUAGAACCAUGGCUUCUGAAAGAAUCNNNNNNNNNNNNCAACAGAGUGGAAAGACUGAGAAAUCGCAGGAUCAGAUAAAUUUAAAGAAUUUAAAUCCCCAUCAUCAAUCACUUGGCCAUGAUACUCUGGUGAUACUAGUGCAUAAGAUAUAAUGCUUGUAGGCU
rnacentral:misc_RNA from 1 species